rnacentral:rRNA from 1 species
GCUUGUCUCAAAGAUUAAGCCAUGCAUGUCUAAGUAUAAAUAGUAUACAGUGAAACUGCGAAUGGCUCAUUAAAACAGUUAUAGUUUAUUUGAUAAUUGAAAAUUACAUGGAUAACCGUGGUAAUUCUAGAGCUAAUACAUGCUAUCAAGCCCGACUUCUUGAAGGGUUGUAUUUAUUAGACUUAAGCCAAUAUUCCUUGUGUCUAUUGCGAUGAUUCAUAAUAACUGAUCGAAUCGUUCAGCACCCGCUGGCGGUGAGUCAUUCAGGUUUCUGACCUAUCAGCUUCCGUCGGUAGGGUAUUGGCCUACCGUGGCGAUGACGGGUAACGGAGAAUUAGGGCUCGAUUCCGGAGAGGGAGCCUGAGAAAUGGCUACCACAUCUAAGGAAGGCAGCAGG